rnacentral:rRNA from 1 species
AUUGAGCGCUGGCGGCAUGCCUUACACAUGCAAGUCGAACGGCAGCACGGGUGCUUGCACCUGGUGGCGAGUGGCGAACGGGUGAGUAAUACAUCGGAACGUACCUUAUCGUGGGGGAUAACGCAGCGAAAGCUGUGCUAAUACCGCAUACGCCCUGAGGGGGAAAGCGGGGGAUCGCAAGACCUCGCGCGAUUAGAGCGGCCGAUGCCCGAUUAGCUUGUUGGUGGGGUAAAAGCCCACCAAGGCGACGAUCAGUAGCUGGUCUGAGAGGACGAUCAGCCACACUGGGACUGAGACACGGCCCAGACUCCUACGGGAGGCAGCAGUGGGGAAUUUUGGACAAUGGGGGCAACCCUGAUCCAGCAAUGCCGCGUGAGUGAAGAUGGCCUUCGGGUUGUAAAGCUCUUUUGUCAGGGAAGAAACACCGGCUCUAACACAGUCUGGGAAUGACGGUACCUGAAGAAUAAGCACCGGCUAACUACGUGCCAGCAGCCGCCGUAAGAC